AAGCUAUGCUCAGAUGAUCAUCAAAGCUGAGAGUCAGCCACCAUUACUGUGGAAGAUGCAUCAGCACAAGAUGAUUUUGCAUGUAGGACAUUGUCAUUUUGAGCAAAGGCAAACAUAUUCCUGGAAAGGGCAAGAAGAAAUUACAACAAUGAGAAGGCAUGUGGUUGAACGUCCCACCUCUAGAGUGACCACUUCCUGUUCCGCUUCAUCUCGGACGGCAGCAUGGAGGUAUUUAGUCGUCCGAGACGAGGGCUGUCUGUUUUCCUGCGGUUGCUUCACCCGAUUCCCCUCCACUGCACACCAGAUGUAACCAAAGCAGAGGACAAAACAAGUGCAUUAUUUUUUCAGAGGCAUGUCUAGUAUGAGACAGUGAUGCGCGCUGACAGGGCCUGCUAAUUGGAGUAAAUUAAUUUACCUCGGGCGCCAUGUUCUCACAAAGUGCCGCGCUCCAUGUGAAUAAGUGAUGAUCGGCAGGGCUCGUAUAAGCCCCGAGUUUUUAAAUCAUUUAGCAGCGCAUUCUGCUAAUUAGCACAGAGAAAGUCGGCUUUCAGCUACAAUUAAGACGGGCCUCUGUCAGUCAGGGGACCGCAGCCGGGAAGAAGCACUGAUUUAUUCAUCCUGCAAGCAGAUGCUGAGUGCAUUGGGGGUUUGGAUGGAGGGACUUGGAGAUGAAGCAAGCAAGGGGAUCUGAGAGAUGAAGGCAGUGAGGGAGAGGACUGCAGUAUGUGUGUGGGUUGCUAUUAGUGUGCUGGUGCAGAAAUUUUGUUUUAAUUUUUUUCUUCUCUGCAAGAAAAGGCACAAACAAAGCAAUGAGAUGAGCUGGUGGAGUACAGUAAGUGAGGUUGUGUGUGUAACUUGUGAUUGGUCAACUAUGGGCUUUACUUCCCAUGCUUAGUUGACAAGACUCUUUCCAGGACUGUUGCAAGGUCAUUCCUGUUACGUUUGAGGUUGCGGUUAUAAUUUAAAGGGACAGUUCGCCCAAAAAUGAAAAUUCUGUCAUUUACUUACCCUCAUGUCAUUCCAAACCUCUAAGACAUUCGUUCAACUUCUGAACACAAAUGAAGACACUUUUAAUUGAAUAUGAGAGAUUUCUGUCCCUCCACUGACAGGCUAUCACUUUUUGAUGCUUCAGAAAUUUCUUAAAAAGAUCGUAAAACUAAUCCAUAUGAAUUUAGUGGUUUAGUCCAAAUUUUCUGAUUACUUUAUAUGAUGAACAGAUUUA
ensembl:lncRNA